AGUGAACGCUGGCGGUAGGCCUAACACAUGCAAGUCGAACGGCAGCACAGUAAGAGCUUGCUCUUACGGGUGGCGAGUGGCGGACGGGUGAGGAAUACAUCGGAAUCUACUUUUUCGUGGGGGAUAACGUAGGGAAACUUACGCUAAUACCGCAUACGACCUACGGGUGAAAGCAGGGGAUCUUCGGACCUUGCGCGAUUGAAUGAGCCGAUGUCGGAUUAGCUAGUUGGAGGGGUAAAGGCCCACCAAGGCGACGAUCCGUAGCUGGUCUGAGAGGAUGAUCAGCCACACUGGAACUGAGACACGGUCCAGACUCCUACGGGAGGCAGCAGUGGGGAAUAUUGGACAAUGGGCGCAAGCCUGAUCCAGCCAUACCGCGUGGGUGAAGAAGGCCUUCGGGUUGUAAAGCCCUUUUGUUGGGAAAGAAAAGCAGCAGGUUAAUACCCCGCUAUUCUGACGGUACCCAAAGAAUAAGCACCGGCUAACUUCGUG
rnacentral:rRNA from 1 species